rnacentral:lncRNA from 1 species
GACUAGCCAGGAGACCAGAGAUGUAGCACCUGGAGCAGCAUGGCCCAGCCUUGUGGAGUGCAUCUGAGCGGGAAGGCCUGCAAGCAGGCGGAGGUCUUCAGGCAAAAUCUUUUCCAGGAGGCUGAGGAAUUCCCCUACAGAUUCUUGCCACAGAAAGUCAUAUAUCUGAAUCAGCUCUUGCAAAAGGAGUCCUUCAAUGUGGCUGAUCUGACCUCCCUCUGAGUGCCACUGAAAUCCCCAUCCCAGACCCUCUAUCCAAGGAUGAUGAGUUGGAAACAGAUAAGCAGGAGGAGAAAGAAGUCUCCCUGGCAUGAGAAGGUCCUUUUCCUGUUCCCCUGGAUAAGACAGAAGUCUGGACUCUCAAAGAGAAAUGCAUUCUGGUGAUCACAUGGAUCCAGCAUCUGAUCCCCAAGAUUGAGGAUGGACAUUAUUUUGGGAUAUCACUCCGGGAGAAGGUGCUGGAGAGGAUAAAGGCAGUCAAGACCAAAGUGGUUCCAGACAACCACGUCCAAGUACUUCUCAGAACAUGGAGAUGCUGUGGCCAAGGCCUCCAAGGAAAUUCAUGUAAUGGAUUAUUACCAGGCCUUGGUGCACAGGCAAGAUGAGGCACCUAUGGGGAGAUCGGGGACACCGUGCUUGAACUGAGGGCUUUCUAUGCUGAGCUUUAUCAUAAUUUCAGAAGCAACCUGGAGAAAAUUGUUAACCCAAAGGGUGAAGAGAAGCCGUCUAUAUACUGAGCCCAGGGCUAGAAGAGAAAUAAAUGACUUAUACUUUGUGUGGAUUAAAAGACAAUAA